CCAACUAAAAACUAGUCUAGUCUUGGCUGUUUUUUUUAGUCGCUCAGUAUGAAUUUGUUUGCUAACUUAUGCAUUAAUAUUUUCACAGGAAACGCAUCACAUCAUAAAUAUUUUUUUGCUAAACAAGAUAUUGUUAUAAUUUCUGUCUAUUUUUCAGGGAGCCUUCCAAAACCGACCAUCUUUGUAAGCCCUGUUGCUGAGCUUACCUGGGGUCAACAAGUCAGCAUCACUUGUGCUUCUGCAAUUCAACUUUUAGAUGGGACUUUUAUUCUCCAAAAGACUUCAGACCCAUUCAGAAUGAGUCAGUCAUCUGGUUCCACCUCUGCUACCUUCAGGAUCCCUAAAGUGACCCUUGAUCAUCAUGGAGAAUUCCAGUGUCAGUAUGAGAAAAGGAUUUCAAGCCGGACCUUCACCUCCGUCCUCAGUGACUCUGUCCAUCUUUCUGUGCAUCUGCUGAGACCCAAUAUUUCCCUGACAUCCCCAAAUGUAGGGGUGGUCUGGGGACCUGAAGAAGCCGAGGUUACCUGGGGUUACCGCUUCUCCUUCACUUGCUCCAUUAACCCAAACCAUCCUCAGGGAAAAUUCUCUCUCAUCUUCUCUGGCUCCAACAUAACAGAAACCAAGCCAGCAGUCAACAGCUCAGCUUCCUUUACUUUCCCAACGGCUGCCUUUGAACACCAGGGCAACUACAGCUGUGUGUAUGUGGUUUCACAGUCUACACGCAGAUUCAGUUCUGCUGAGGCAGUACCUAUUCGUCUUGUCAUUAAGGGCUCUUCACAGAUGCUGCUAUACUCACUAUCUGGUGGAAUCCUGCUCCUGGUCCUGCUGGUGUUUCUAGGAGUCUGCCUGGGCUGCAGAAGGAGACAUUGCACUAAACAGCCUCGAGCAUCUGACCAAA